AGCAGCCGCGGUAAUCCAGCUCCAAUAGCGUAUAUUAAAGUUGUUGCAGUUAAAAAGCUCGUAGUUGAAUUUCGGAGUUUGUCGGUUGGUCGGGCUUCACUGUCCGCACUGGCCUGAUAGAUUCCUACCUUCUGAAUAACCAGCAUGCUAUUAAGUUAGUGCGUUGGGGAAGCAGAGCUAUUACCUUGAAAAAAUUAGAGUGCUUAAAGCAGGCUUAUGCUUGAAUAGAUUAGCAUGGAAUAAUAAAAUAGGACGGCAUGGUUCUAUUUUGUUGGUUUCUAGGAUCACCGUAAUGAUUAAUAGGGAUAGUUGGGGGCAUUAGUAUUCAAUUGUCAGAGGUGAAAUUCUUGGAUUUAUUGAAGACUAACUUCUGCGAAAGCAUUUGCCAAGGAUGUUUUCAUUAAUCAAGAACGAAAGUUAGGGGAUCGAAGACGAUCAGAUACCGUCGUAGUCUUAACCAUAAACUAUGCCGACUAGGGAUCGGACGAUGUUAAUUUUUUAAUGACUCGUUCGGCGCCUU
rnacentral:rRNA from 1 species